rnacentral:rRNA from 1 species
UACGGGGGGGGCAAGCGUUGUUCGGAAUUACUGGGCGUAAAGGGCUCGUAGGUGGCCAACUAAGUCAUACGUGAAAUCCCUCGGCUUAACCGGGGAACUGCGUCUGAUACUGGAUGGCUUGAAUUCGGGAGAGGGAUGCAGAAUUCCAGGUGUAGCGGUGAAAUGCGUAGAUAUCUGGAGGAAUACCGGUGGCGAAGGCGGCAUCCUGGACCGAACAUUGACGCUGAGGAGCGAAAGCUAGGGGAGCA